rnacentral:rRNA from 1 species
AAGUCGUAACAAGGUUUCCGUAGGUGAACCUGCGGAAGGAUCAUUACCGAAUCUCGGCCCGGGGGGGGAUGUCUAGUAGUAUUUCGGAGUGCUGUCGCUGGCCUUCGGGCAAAAUGUGCACGUCUCCGGAGUCCGACGGCGUCCCCUCACCGAUGCCUCUCUCCAAACACCUGUGUGCACCUGUUGUAGGUCUCGUCACUGGGACCUAUGUAUUCCAUAUAAACUCGCAUGUAUACAGAACGUUGUCCAAAUAUAAUAUAACUUUCAGCAACGGAUCUCUUGGCUCUCGCAUCGAUGAAGAACGCAGCGAAUCGCGAUAAGUAAUGUGAAUUGCAGAUUUUCCGUGAAUCAUCGAAUCUUUGAACGCACCUUGCGCUCCUCGGUAUUCCGAGGAGCAUGCCUGUUUGAGUGUCAUCGAAAUCUCAAAUCCCGGUCCGGGGGUUUGGACUUUGGGAGUCUGCCGGCGACCCGACCUCGGGACGUCGGCUCUCCUCAAAUGCAUUAGCGGUGGGCGCGAGCCUUUGCACGGCACGGCCUGUUUUCGACGUCGUAGUGAUCGUCGCGGGCUGGAAGUGCUCGGAUCGACAUGUCUCAUGCUUCCAAGCUAGUAUAAAUGAUUAAGGCUUGACCUCAAAUCAGGCAGGACUACCCGCUGAACUUAA